UAGGGAAUCUUCGGCAAUGGACGAAAGUCUGACCGAGCAACGCCGCGUGAGUGAAGAAGGUUUUCGGAUCGUAAAACUCUGUUGUUAGAGAAGAACAAGGACGUUAGUAACUGAACGUCCCCUGACGGUAUCUAACCAGAAAGCCACGGCUAACUACGUGCCAGCAGCCGCGGUAAUACGUAGGUGGCAAGCGUUGUCCGGAUUUAUUGGGCGUAAAGCGAGCGCAGGCGGUUUCUUAAGUCUGAUGUGAAAGCCCCCGGCUCAACCGGGGAGGGUCAUUGGAAACUGGGAGACUUGAGUGCAGAAGAGGAGAGUGGAAUUCCAUGUGUAGCGGUGAAAUGCGUAGAUAUAUGGAGGAAAACCAGUGGCGAAAGCGGCUCUAUGGUCUGUAACUGACGCUGAGGCUCGAAAGCGUGGGGAGCAAACAGG
rnacentral:rRNA from 1 species